rnacentral:lncRNA from 1 species
CUCCAAAAAAAAUUGGGGUAGUUCCUUCAACCUAGAUUAUAUGUAUUUAAGAAUAGGUCUUUGACAUUGUUGGAGUAACUUUCGGCAGCUUGAACUUAUUCUUGGAUAAAAGAUAGAAACUGUGUAGUCGUAGGAUAUUCACUCAUAUGAUAGGCUAGACUAGCAUAGAUAGAACAGAUCUCCUGAUAAUUGAAAGGUGGUGUGUAUUGCGCAGA